UCUCUCCCUCUUAUUUCUCUCGACUCAUGCCUGGCUUAACCCCAACAAUGUCCACCUCCUCCAUCGAACCGUCUUCCUAUGCUUCUGGAGCUCUCAAGAUCUCCUUCCUCAUUCGGGGUCGAAUUGUUGCCUUCUCGAAUCAGGUGGAGGCGACGACGAUGACGAUCUUCGUUGCGGGAUCGAUCGUCAGGACUCGCGCAGAGGGUGCGGCGUGGGAAGUCAAGAAUCGGCGUUCCUGGGGACCCCCGGUGCGCAGAUUGUCAGGGAGGGCGCGACGGUGGGCUGGGAACCGGGUAUAUGAAGGCGGUUGUGUACGCUGCAACUCGUGGGUCGUCUUUGCCCCAUGGAAGAGUCUUACACGCGGAGCAGGCACUGAGUUUGGGAUUUUGAUGCUUCGAAUGCCAUGAUGAAUCCCAGAUCGAUGACUUUGGUACAGUUGUAAGUGCUGAAGCUCUAAAACGCCCAUUGGAAGAUCUCACUAGUGCUGUCAGGACAUGAAACAAAGUGUCUAGAGUCACAACGGACAUUGAAAGGAACAUAUGCAUCGAUUAUUAUCACAAACACCGUCUCCAGUAUAAGUUCUAGUGCAUCCCUCCGCACAAUUUGAAUCGGUACAUGGGCUGUCUAAGACAACUUUGCAGAUACGAUCGGGUUGUUGUGCCUCAACCACAACAUCAGCUGUUGCAAAGUUGAUGUGCUAAUGAGAGCAAAUUAGAGAAGAAAAGGCAUACAUGUUCGAGCUUACCUGUAAAAAGGAUGAGGAGAAGGAUAACACACGCGAUCUUCGCCCCCAUGAUAAAGAAGAAAUUGUCGUAGAAGCACAAUUCUGUCCGGAUGCCAUCUACAAAGCGGUGGAGAUUGGUGAUUCUUAAAAUCGGUGAGUUUUGCCAUCUAUAAAGGAAUAUUACAUGCAUUCAAUUAAUUUCAAGUUGUCAUUUUUUUUUUUUUUUUUUGCUUUUGUAAGAAAAUACUACUUCGUUAACUUUCUCCUAGAAGGGUUUAAAUGUUUUGGAGUACAAAAGAUUUUUUUACAAGUGUGGUCGCCAGGAGUUUAAAAAGUUUGUGUUUUAAUUGAGCACAUCUGACAUAAAAAAGAUUUAAUUGAGCCUUCAGGGAAAUUCGAGGAAGCUACCCGGUUGUUCUGCCUUGACUGCAUAAUUAAUUUUUGUCAACUGUUUCAUUUUUAUGUGCAACAGUUACAUUUUUAUAGCUUAACACCUAUUUUAGAAACCAUGAAUUUAAAAAAU